rnacentral:rRNA from 1 species
GACGAACGCUGGCGGCGUGCUUAACACAUGCAAGUCGAGCGGUAAGGCCCUUUCGGGGGUACGACGAGCGGCGAACGGGUGAGUAACACGUGGGUGACCUGCCUUUAGCUCUGGGAUAAGCCUGGGAAACUGGGUCUAAUACCGGAUAUGACCCUAUGGCGCAUGUUGUGGGGUGGAAAGCCUUGUGCGGCUAGGGAUGGGCCCGCGGCCUAUCAGCUUGUUGGUGGGGUGAUGGCCUACCAAGGCGACGACGGGUAGCCGGCCUGAGAGGGCGACCGGCCACACUGGGACUGAGACACGGCCCAGACUCCUACGGGAGGCAGCAGUGGGGAAUCUUGCGCAAUGGGCGAAAGCCUGACGCAGCGACGCCGCGUGAGGGAUGACGGCCU